CUAGAUAAGAUAGCAUUUUCCUGGCUAGCAUUAAUUCUACCACUCUAUGUGUAGAAUUGCUGCUGAUAAGCACUCAAAGCACAAUAAGAAAGGCUAGUGAUAAGAAUUGUUGCAGAGAGCCUGAUGACAGAUUUUAUGAUAUGCUUCUGCUAUCAGUUGAAAUAAAUGUGGUUUUGAUCAUGGUCUCCUAAAGAGGUGCAGCCCCAGCAUAAGCAGGAACUUCUCACAGUGGUUUAUCAAACACAGAACAAGUAUUUAUUGAAGGCACAACCAUAUUGAGAGGGCAGAUGGACAGGCAAAUGUGAGCUGGAAGUUUUAAAACCCAUCAUGUCCCAAAAUCUGAAUUGUUCUUAUUGCAGUCCAACAGUUGAGAUCACAGGAUACAUCCAGAGUUAAAUGAAGUCCAAGUUCAGUGCUGAAAUAGCAGAAAUUUUGAUGUGUCAUCAGCAAUGCCUAAAUACAUGUGUAUGCAGAUGUCCUGUGUUAUCCUGAAAGGAGAAAACUCCUGAAUUUAAGAUUAUUCUUUCAGACCUUUCUCCCUCACACCAAAAGAUGUAUGGAAAAGCUUACUCAGUACUUGUAAUCAGUAUGGAGUACAGAGAAAGGCUUUUUGCUGGUUUAUUCAGCAAUGGGAGUGAUCCUCUUCAGUGUAUUCAAACAGCAUCUAUUACCAGCAGUGGAGAUCCCCAUCAGAGAAAUAAAUCAUGACCUUGUGCUUGGCCCAGCAGCAAGGGAGUCCCAGCUGCAGAUUCUUGAGGUGUAGGGAACAGAUCUUCUAAAAAUCAUAUGGAAGCUCUUCUCAGACCAGCUCUAGUCAAGGGGCUCAAGCUCCAGUCCCCAUGGGGAAACUAAAGCCCAGUAUGACAUGUUUUGUCAGAGAACUGGGUAAAUGCAGAAGUUGUGGUGAAAGAUUGCUGCUUUGCAUGCUGUGGUUGGUGAAAGUGAGGGUGGCUUGUUUGGAGCUUGAACAACAAAUUGAAAUUAGUGAAGACACUAAAAGGGAGACAGUAGUUGAAGACAGUGAAAAGCAAGAGCAAGGGUGAUGUGAGGGGUAAAACCCAGAAAGCAAGAGAAAUAAAGCAUGAGAGGAAAUUACCUUCAAGCAAUUGUUAGCAAAAAGUAUUCAUCUGAAUAUUCAGUAAGAAAAAAUUCCUUAGAUGCAGUGGUUUGGGAGGGGAGAACAAUUUUUUAUUUGUUAUUUUGUUUUGGGGUUAAAUCUGUGAGUUCAGCUUACUAUUACUGUUAGGGUUAACCCUCAUGCAUGUUUUCCUGCAGGUCUAGAGGGCCAGGGGCUGAGACCUUAAACUGCAGCAUUAAGAGAAGUGCAGAGUUCCUCGGGCUGGCCCCAGUGCCACAGCUGAAGCUCCAGCUGCAGCCUGCUGCUCCUUCACAGCCACAGGGAGGACACAGCCUUCCCCUUUUCACUCAGGAAGCUGAGAAAGUGACUGUGCAUGACUUACAGCCUAACAUAGAUGUUACAGACAGCAUCCUGCAGAGCAAGUACUUGCUGGGGCUCCCUUGUGUAAGGAAGGAUCUUAAUGAAGAAGGAGGAACCUAAUGGCUCUGUGAGCUUUCUGUUCAAGAGUCACCAAGCUGGUGCAGAACCAGAGGAGUGAUUUGGAGGCUCUGAUGAAUGGUACAAUCAAAGACUUUGAAAGGGAGUUCAGGAUUUAACAGGCUGUGGAACUCUGGAUUCAUUCAAGUCUGCAGAGCAUGGAUUUAGAAGUAUCAGAAGGAAGAGCUGCUCUAUUCCAAGCCAUCCAGUUCCUAAAGCAUAAAGGAUGAAUUUAGCAAAAGAUUAAGGUUCAUCUGGAGCACAGAUGCCACUUGAACUGAGUUCCUUCAUUGUAGGAGACCUGUUGGAGUGGAAUAGAGAAAUGCAGAGCUGCAAACACAAUCUUUGUUGGAAAAUGCAUCUACAGCAGCUGUAAAAAUGGGAUUGAUUGUACAGAUUAUCAGCCAGAAGCUUCACUGGGCUUAACUGUGAGUGGGUGGUUUGACCUAAUACAACCAGAAUGCAGCAAAAUGCCCCUUAAGAGCUCUCCUUGUUUCAGUGCAUUGUAAUAAUCCCAGCUGUGCUUAGUAAAUCUCAUCUCAGAAUGGAAAUAUCACUUAUAGAAAAUAACCUCGGAACACAGCAUGUUGUGUGCACACAUGCACAUCAAGUGAAAGGUGUACAGAGGAAACUGAUGCACCUCACCUGGUCUAGAUUGUAGGUUAUAAAUCAGUUUAUUAGAACUGGAAUUUUAUGGAAGUGAAUGAUUGAAAAGAUAGCUGCCAGCAGUAGAUUUUAUUUCCCCAAUACAUCAGUCAGUGUAAGUAAGGUAUUUGACUUCUUUAUGCAGCUGGAAAAUGGAGUAGAAGAGUAUAAUUAGAAAAUUCUAUGCUGCAGCAAAAUGGGUCUUUCUUGAAGAAAUGAAGUAUUUAGAAACUAAAAGCUUAUGCUGUCCCUUAAUGAUGUCCCACUGCACCUCAAAAAAUACAACACUGGGAAAGGCUUGAUCCUGAUUAGAGAACUGUGCACCUGCAAGGCACAGCACAGCAGUGCACACUUGCUGUGGAGCUGACUUUCCUGGUGUGAUUAAUCUAAUUGAUUUCCCAGAGAUGGCUCCUGUGGGUGGAGUUAAACUUAGGACUUUUUCUAAAUUUGGGCUGUGAUUCCUCAUUGAACUCAGCAGGCUGGGAGCACAGUGUGCUUGGAUGAGUUCCAUGGCAAUGGGUGACAAAACCACCUCUCUCACUGAGACAAGCCCACAGCCAGCUGUGGGAUGUAGCUUGUGGAGCUGGGAAGUGCUUGCAACCUGCUGCUGCAGAGAUCAGGCACUUCAGGAGAGCUGGGGGACAGCACAUCCAUGCUGAGCCCAUGGCUUUGGCAGUCUCCAGGCACAUUUCCUGUGAAAACAAAUGGCAGAAUUGCUGUGGGACAGGUCUUGUUUUGUGUUGGGAAUUAUACCCACCUCCUGCAAACCCACACUGUACAGAAGUAUUUCACUUUUUUAUCUGCUUCUGGGAUAUAGGCCUACAAGAUUUUUCAUACACUUGACACCUCUCAAAACAGCACAGUCCCAAGGCAGCAAUGAUGGAGUGAAUCCAAAAAGGUUCUACUUUCUUUUCAUCUGCUGCCCAGAUUGACCUGCUUAUGUACUUCUAGAUCUACCAGGGACACAAACUAGUCUUCAAAUAUAGCAAUAUGGGUUUUUUGCAAUGUGGGGAUAGGGAGAGUGAAACUGCUCAGCAAGUUUGAAGUGCUGUUUACUGGGCUUAUCUCUAAUAUCCUCUUUAUGUUCCAUGGAAACAACUUCAGGGCUUCAGUCACAUCAGCCCUGUGAAGAAGGAUCUGCAUGAGCUGGGGAUUCUAAGUAGGGAAAUUGUUAGACUUCAACUCCUUGAUUAUUGGGACCUGAAAGUCACAGCAGUAUGUCAUUUGCAAGGCAAUUUUCUCUGGAAUAGCAAUUUGGCUUUGUUUCAUGACCUUGAUGUCACAAAGUAUUAAUAAUCUCUUAAAUCUACCUCACUUGCAAAUAAAAAAACCCUAACAAGGUACAAUCAUUUGUUUGAAUUUUGGGUUGGUACUUACAGUCUGCUUAAAAAUUGCAGCUUUUGGUGUGAUACAUAGGUGUGAAUGCAGUGGGUUUCUCUGCCAAACUUGCCUGGAUACAACAAAUAAAUGAAUUUCAGUCUGUUGGGAGGACAGCUGUUUCCAUGACAUUUUAAGCCAAAUUUCUAAGUAUCUUCAUCUCUUUUCUUAGCAUGCUAAAUGGGCACUACAUGGCUUAAUUCAUAUUUGUGUUUUGCAUACAAAAAAAAAAGGUUUCUCUUAGUUUCUUAUUUCCUUUCUUCAAUAAACAUCUCAGAUAGUAACCUACUAUUUUUGUUCUGUUAGCACAAACAUUCUUAGAAGUAUUGCAAAGGAUGUGAAAUGAAAGGUACAGGUGAAUUACUGACUGGAACAGAGAAGAUACCUGUUCAGGCAAACCCCCUUUGAGAAGCUCACUGUUACCACAGGCUCAAAGAAAAGAGAAACAAACAUUAAAUAUGAUAUACAACAUAGAAUCUGUUCAGAGAAGUUUACUUUUCUUAAAGAGUUGAGUCAUCUCAUACUUUAAAAUUCUAAUUAGAAUUAACGUUGUUACUGCUGCACUAUAACUAUGUUAAUUACCUUUAAUAUAUUCUGGCAUUGAAUUCCACAGGAUAAUUUACUUUAAUUUCA